CAAAUCAUGGUGUCAGGACUCCUCUCUUGGC
rnacentral:piRNA from 1 species